rnacentral:rRNA from 1 species
UACAGAGGGUGCGAGCGUGUUCGGAAUUACUGGGCGUAAAGCGCGCGCAGGCGGCCCAUUAAGUCCAUCGGUCAAAUGCCGGGGCUCAACCCCGAGCGUGCCGAGGAUACUGGCGGGCUGGAGACACGUAGAGGCAAGCGGAAUUCCGGGUGUAGCGGUGAAAUGCGUAGAGAUCGGAAAGAACACCAACGGCGAAAGCACUCUGCUGGGCCGACACUGACACUGAGAGACGAAAGCUAGGGGAGCGAAUGGG